GAACACGUGGUGACGAGACGUUUGGAAGAUUUAUCCUUCUAAAAAUUUAUCUUUCUGAUUCAAAAGUAAAACACUAAAACUUGGAACAACUUAUAAAACUUGCUGUGUAUAUGACUUCACUAGCGUGUGGUGGUGAAAUUCAAGUUUGUUUACUAGAGAUUCGAUAAGAUUUAGAUGGCUCUUUGUGUUGUUAAAAUUUUAGAAAACAAGCGAAAUGCUUUGAUGUUUGAUUUGAAGACUGUGAACCAGCAGAGAAUGGAGCCAUUUGUUCUUUGGUACAGGAAACUCCUCUUAUAGAGGUUCGAAGACAAGUCAUUGACAACUUUCAACCAGGUUGCCCAUAUCAGGAAUGAUCAGUAAAUUGAAGCCCUAAGUAGAUUGCAAUUUCAUUGUACCUGUUUCGUGGAAUUUCUUGGUCGAUAGUUUUCAUUCCAAAGCCAUGGCAAUCAAAAGUAUUACAAAACAUGAAGUGCAUACUCCAGAUGAUCCCGAUGGAAUUCUCCCUGCGACAU